GUGGCAGAAAAGUGCAGUAAACUUAAGAUUUACAAAUAAAGUUAUCUUUCUUUAGA
rnacentral:tRNA from 1 species